UAUGCACGCUCUUAAGGCUGUGCAACUGGGCAAUUAGUUGAAAAGUGAAUGUUAAAAAAAAUAGCAGUGUGGCAUUCAAUCACUGAAGUCAUCAAUUUUGUGAAAAAAACAGGUGCUAAUCAGGUGGCCCCUAUUUAAGGAUGAAGCCAGCACAUGUUGAAUAUGCAUUUGAAAGCCUGAGGAAAAUGGGUCGUUCAAGACUUGAUUAGAGAGGGGAAAACCUAUAUAGAGGUGCAAAAUAUUAUAGGCUGUUCAGCUAAAAUGAUCUCCAGUGCCUUAAAAUGGAGAGCAAAACCAGAGAGAUGUGGAAGAAAACUGAAGACAACCAUCAAAAUGGAUCGAAGAAUAACCAGAAUGGCAAAGGCUCAGCCAAUGAUCAGCUCAGGAUGAUCAAAGACAGCCUGGAGUUACCUGUAAGUACUGUGACAGUUAGAAGACGUCUAUGUGAAGCUAAUCUAUUUUCAAGAAUCCCCCGCAAAGUGCCUCUGUUAAAAAAAAGGCAUGUGCAGAAGAGGUUACAAUUUGCCAAAGAA